rnacentral:rRNA from 1 species
GGGAGGUAGUGACAAUAAAUAACAAUACGGGGUUCUUUCGGAUUUCGUAAUUGGAAUGAGUACAAUUUAAAUCUCUUAACGAGGAACAAUUGGAGGGCAAGUCUGGUGCCAGCAGCCGCGGUAAUUCCAGCUCCAAUAGCGUAUAUUAAAGUUGUUGCAGUUAAAAAGCUCGUAGUUGAAUUUCGGGAUCAAUAUGUUGGUCGUGCCUUGGUACGUACUAGUUUAUUGGUUUCUCUUCUGACGAACCAUGAUGUCAUUAAUUUGGUGUCAUGUGGAAUCAGAACUGUUUCUUUGAAAAAUUAGAGUGUUUAAAGCAGGCUCACGCUUGAAUACAUUAGCAUGGAAUAAUGAAAUUGGACGUUUGAUUCUAUUUUGUUGGUUUCUAGGAUUGACGUAAUGAUUAAUAGGGAUAGUUGGG